rnacentral:rRNA from 1 species
UGGGGAAUAUUGGACAAUGGGCGCAAGCCUGAUCCAGCAAUGCCGCGUGUGUGAAGAAGGCCUGCGGGUUGUAAAGCACUUUCAGUGGGGAGGAAGGCCUCGGCGUUAAUAUCGUCGAGGAUUGACGUUACCUACAGAAGAAGCACCGGCUCACUCUGUGCCAGCAGCCGCGGUAAUACAGAGGGUGCAAGCGUUAAUCGGAAUUACUGGGCGUAAAGGGCGCGUAGGUGGUUAAUUAAGUCAGAUGUGAAAUCCCCGGGCUUAACCUUGGAAAUGCAUUUGAAACUGAUUGGCUAGAGUACGGGAGAGGGAAGUGGAAUUUCCGGUGUGGCGGUGAAAUGCGUAGAUAUCGGAAGGAACACCAGUGGCGAAGGCGACAUCCUGGUCCGUUACUGACACUGAGGCGCGAAGGCGUGG